rnacentral:rRNA from 1 species
UGCCAGCCGCCGCGGUAAUAGGGAGGGUGCCAGCAUUAAUCGGAUUUAUUGGGCGUAAAGGGCGCGUAGGCGGCCGUGUAAGUCGAGUGUGAAAUUCCGGGGCUCAACCCCGGAGCUGCACUCGAAACUACACGGCUAGAGGUUAGGCGGAGAAAACGGAAUUCCACGUGUAGCGGUGAAAUGCGUAGAUAUGUGGAAGAACACCGGUGGCGAAGGCGGUUUUCUAGUCUAAACCUGACGCUGAGGCGCGCAAGUGAGGGGAGCAAACAGGAUUAGAUA